GCGUUCAUAUCACUUCGGUCAAAAUAGGACAAAUCAUGCGAAGGAUAUAACGAGCAAUUUUGUAAAAUAAAUUUGUCAUAAUAUUUUACGGUUGCGAAGGAGAUGCGCUAACAAGGAAAACAGUGUUUGGGGAGAUAACUCCUACAAAGAAAAGUAUUCGUUUACGCAGGGUAAAUUUCAAAAGCGCAUAAACUGUUCGAUAUCAUAUACCAAAUAUCUAAGCGACAUAUUGCGAAACAAAUGUUUAUCGCAAGAACAAAAUUAGGCGGAAGAAAAAAAAAAAAAAAAUUAAAAACCAAUUGUUCAGAGAACAAUUGAAGGUCUUUCCAUCA
rnacentral:lncRNA from 1 species